AGCGAACGCUGGCGGCAGGCCUAACACAUGCAAGUCGAACGAACUCUUCGGAGUUAGUGGCGGACGGGUGAGUAACACGUGGGAACGUGCCUUUUGGUUCGGAAUAACUCAGGGAAACUUGUGCUAAUACCGAAUGUGCCCUUCGGGGGAAAGAUUUAUCGCCAUUAGAGCGGCCCGCGUCUGAUUAGCUAGUUGGUGAGGUAACGGCUCACCAAGGCGACGAUCAGUAGCUGGUCUGAGAGGAUGACCAGCCACACUGGGACUGAGACACGGCCCAGACCCCUACGGGAGGCAGCAGUGGGGAAUCUUGCGCAAUGGGCGAAAGCCUGACGCAGCCAUGCCGCGUGAAUGAUGAAGGUCUUAGGAUUGUAAAAUUCUUUCACCGGGGACGAUAAUGACGGUACCCGGAGAAGAAGCCCCGGCUAACUUCGU
rnacentral:rRNA from 1 species